rnacentral:rRNA from 1 species
CCUACGGGAGGCAGCAGUGGGGAAUAUUGGGCAAUGGGCGAAAGCCUGACCCAGCAACGCCGCGUGAAGGACGAAGGCUUUCGGGUUGUAAACUUCUUUUGACCGGGAAGAGCAGAAGUCGGUACCUGUCGAAUAAGCCACGGCUAACUACGUGCCAGCAGCCGCGGUAAUACGUAGGUGGCAGGCGUUGUCCGGAUUUACUGGGUGUAAAGGGCUUGUAGCCGGGCUGACAAGUUAGAUGGGAAAUCCGGGGGCUAAACGCCCGAAGUGCAUUUGAUACUGUUGGUCUUGAGUAUCGGUGAGGCAGGCGGAAUGCGUGGUGUAGCGGUGAAAUGCGUAGAUAUUA